rnacentral:rRNA from 1 species
UACGUAGGGUGCAAGCGUUGUCCGGAAUUAUUGGGCGUAAAGAGCUCGUAGGCGGCUUGUCGCGUCGGCUGUGAAAACCUGGGGCUCAACCCCGGGCCUGCAGCCGAUACGGGCAAGCUAGAAUUCGGUAGGGGAGACUGGAAUUCCUGGUGUAGCGGUGGAAUGCGCAGAUAUCAGGAAGAACACCCGUGGCGAAGGCGGCUCUCUGGGACGGUACUGACGCUGAGACGCGAAAGCGUGGGGAGCGAACAGG